rnacentral:rRNA from 1 species
AACGAACGCUGGCGGCAGGCCUAACACAUGCAAGUCGAGCGCUCACUUCGGUGGGAGCGGCGGACGGGUUAGUAACGCGUGGGAACAUACCCUUCUCUACGGAAUAGCCUCGGGAAACUGAGAGUAAUACCGUAUACGCCCUUCGGGGGAAAGAUUUAUCGGAGAUGGAUUGGCCCGCGUUAGAUUAGAUAGUUGGUGGGGUAAUGGCCUACCAAGUCUACGAUCUAUAGCUGGUUUUAGAGGACGAUCAGCAACACUGGGACUGAGACACGGCCCAGACUCCUACGGGAGGCANCANUGGGGAAUCUUAGACAAUGGGCGAAAGCCUGACCUANCCAUGCCGCGUGAGUGAUGAAGGCCUUAGGGUCGUAAAGCUCUUUCGCCAGGGAUGAU